rnacentral:piRNA from 1 species
UCCUAACAAAUGGAUCAGGGGCUAUGCCU